GGAUGUGGGGUUGCUUAGACAACCAGGAUGUUGGCUUAGAAGCAGCCACCAUUGAAAGAGUGCGUAAUAGCUCACUGGUCGAGUGACCCCGCGCCGAAAAUGUACCGGGGCUAAACAUAUUACCGAAACUGUGGAUGAACCUCUUCGGAGGUUCGUGGUAGGAGAGCGUUCUAAGGGCGGUGAAGUCAGACCGGAAGGACUGGUGGAGCGCUUAGAAGUGAGAAUGCCGGUAUGAGUAGCGAAAGAAGGGUGAGAAUCCCUUCCACCGAAUAUCUAAGGUUUCCUGAGGAAGGCUCGUCCGCUCAGGGUUAGUCGGGACCUAAGCCGAGGCCGAUAGGCGUAGGCGAUGGACAACAGGUAGAGAUUCCUGUACCAGUGCUAAUUGUUUAACCGAUGGGGUGACACAGAAGGAUAGGGAAUCGCACGAAUGGAAAUGUGCGUCCAAGCAGUGAGUGUGAGAAGUAGGCAAAUCCGCUUCUCGCGAAGCAUGAGCUGUGAUGGGGAAGGAAAUUAAGUACGGAAGUUCCUGAUUUCACGCUGUCAAGAAAAGCCUCUAGGAAGAGUAGUACUGCCCGUACCGCAAACCGACACAGGUAGAUGAGGAGAGAAUCCUAAGGUGAGCGAGAGAACUCUCGUUAAGGAACUCGGCAAAAUGACCCCGUAACUUCGGGAGAAGGGGUGCUCUAUUAGGGUGCAAGCCCGAGAGAGCCGCAGUGAAUAGGCCCAGGCGACUGUUUAGCAAAAACACAGGUCUCUGCAAAACCGUAAGGUGACGUAUAGGGGCUGACGCCUGCCCGGUGCUGGAAGGUUAAGAGGAGUGCUUAGCUUCGGCGAAGGUACGAAUUGAAGCCCCAGUAAACGGCGGCCGUAACUAUAACGGUCCUAAGGUAGCGAAAUUCCUUGUCGGGUAAGUUCCGACCCGCACGAAAGGCGCAACGAUCUGGGCACUGUCUCAACGAGAGACUCGGUGAAAUUAUAGUACCUGUGAAGAUGCAGGUUACCCGCGACAGGACGGAAAGACCCCGUGGAGCUUUACUGCAACCUGAUAUGGAAUGUUUGUACCGCUUGUACAGGAUAGGUAGGAGCCGAAGAGACGUGUGCGCUAGCAUACGAGGAGGCAAUGGUGGGAUACUACCCUGGCUGUAUGACCAUUCUAACCCGCCACGCUUAGCGCGUGGGGAGACAGUGUCAGGUGGGCAGUUUGACUGGGGCGGUCGCCUCCUAAAGAGUAACGGAGGCGCCCAAAGGUUCCCUCAGAAUGGAUGGAAAUCAUUCGCAGAGUGUAAAGGCACAAGGGAGCUUGACUGCGAGACUGACAAGUCGAGCAGGGACGAAAGUCGGGCUUAGUGAUCCGGUGGUUCCGCAUGGAAGGGCCAUCGCUCAACGGAUAAAAGCUACCCCGGGGAUAACAGGCUUAUCUCCCCCAAGAGUCCACAUCGACGGGGAGGUUUGGCACCUCGAUGUCGGCUCGUCGCAUCCUGGGGCUGUAGUCGGUCCCAAGGGUUGGGCUGUUCGCCCAUUAAAGCGGCACGCGAGCUGGGUUCAGAACGUCGUGAGACAGUUCGGUCCCUAUCCGUCGCGGGCGCAGGAAAUUUGAGAGGAGCUGUCCUUAGUACGAGAGGACCGGGAUGGACACACCGCUGGUGUACCAGUUGUUCCGCCAGGAGCAUCGCUGGGUAGCUAUGUGUGGCAGGGAUAAACGCUGAAAGCAUCUAAGCGUGAAGCCCCCCUCAAGAUGAGAUUUCCCAUUUCUUCGGAAAGUAAGAUCCCUGAAAGAUGAUCAGGUAGAUAGGUUUGGAGUGGAAGUGUAGCGAUACAUGGAGCGGACAAAUACUAAUCGAUCGAGGACUUAACCAAAA
rnacentral:rRNA from 1 species